GCCCACAUAGCUCAGUCGGUAGAGCACUCCCUUGGUAAGGGAGAGGUCACUGGUUCGAAUCCAAUUGUGGGCACCA
rnacentral:tRNA from 1 species